UUAAGUGACUAAGCGUACACGGUGGAUGCCUAGGCAGUCAGAGGCGAUGAAGGGCGUGCUAAUCUGCGAAAAGUGUCGGUAAGGUGAUAUGAACCGUUAUAACCGGCAAUACCCGAAUGGGGAAACCCAGUGUGUUUCGACACACUAUCGUAUGGUGAAUACAUAGCCAUACGAGGCGAACCGGGGGAACUGAAACAUCUAAGUACCCCGAGGAAAAGAAAUCAACCGAGAUUCCCCUAGUAGCGGCGAGCGAACGGGGAACAGCCCAGAACCUGAAUCAGUUCUUGUGUUAGUGGAAGCGUCUGGAAAGUCGCGCAGCAAAGGGUGAUAGCCCCGUACACUAAAAUGCAUUAACUGUGAGUUCGAUGAGUAGGGCGGGACACGUGACAUCCUGUCUGAAUAUGGGGGGACCAUCCUCCAAGGCUAAAUACUCCUGACUGACCGAUAGUGAACCAGUACCGUGAGGGAAAGGCGAAAAGAACCCCGGCGAGGGGAGUGAAAUAGAACCUGAAACCGUGUACGUACAAGCAGUGGGAGCACCUUCGUGGUGUGACUGCGUACCUUUUGUAUAAUGGGUCAGCGACUUAUAUUUUGUAGCAAGGUUAACCGUAUAGGGGAGCCGUAGGGAAACCGAGUCUUAACUGGGCGAAUAGUUGCAAGGUAUAGACCCGAAACCCGGUGAUCUAGCCAUGGGCAGGUUGAAGGUUGGGUAACACUAACUGGAGGACCGAACCGACUAAUGUUGAAAAAUUAGCGGAUGACUUGUGGCUGGGGGUGAAAGGCCAAUCAAACCGGGAGAUAGCUGGUUCUCCCCGAAAGCUAUUUAGGUAGCGCCUCGUGAACUCAUCUUCGGGGGUAGAGCACUGUUUCGGCUAGGGGGCCAUCCCGGCUUACCAAACCGAUGCAAACUCCGAAUACCGAAGAAUGUUAUCACGGGAGACACACGGCGGGUGCUAACGUCCGUCGUGAAGAGGGAAACAACCCAGACCGCCAGCUAAGGUCCCAAAGUCAUGGUUAAGUGGGAAACGAUGUGGGAAGGCAUAGACAGCCAGGAUGUUGGCUUAGAAGCAGCCAUCAUUUAAAGAAAGCGUAAUAGCUCACUGGUCGAGUCGGCCUGCGCGGAAGAUGUAACGGGGCUAAACCAUGCACCGAAGCUGCGGCAGCGACGCUUAGGCGUUGUUGGGUAGGGGAGCGUUCUGUAAGCCGUUGAAGGUGAACUGUGAGGUUUGCUGGAGGUAUCAGAAGUGCGAAUGCUGACAUAAGUAACGAUAAAGCGGGUGAAAAACCCGCUCGCCGGAAGACCAAGGGUUCCUGUCCAACGUUAAUCGGGGCAGGGUGAGUCGACCCCUAAGGCGAGGCCGAAAGGCGUAGUCGAUGGGAAACAGGUUAAUAUUCCUGUACUCGGUGUUACUGCGAAGGGGGGACGGAGAAGGCUAGGCUAGCCGGGCGACGGUUGUCCCGGUUUAAGCGUGUAGGGGGNUAUCAACCCUGAGGCGUGAUGACGAUGCACUACGGUGCAGAAGUAGUUGAUGCCCUGCUUCCAGGAAAAGCCUCUAAGCAUCAGGUAACAUCAAAUCGUACCCCAAACCGACACAGGUGGUCAGGUAGAGAAUACCAAGGCGCUUGAGAGAACUCGGGUGAAGGAACUAGGCAAAAUGGUGCCGUAACUUCGGGAGAAGGCACGCUGGCGCGUAGGUGAAGAGACUUGCUCUCGGAGCUGAAGCCAGUCGCAGAUACCAGCUGGCUGCAACUGUUUAAUAAAAACACAGCACUGUGCAAACACGAAAGUGGACGUAUACGGUGUGACGCCUGCCCGGUGCUGGAAGGUUAAUUGAUGGGGUCAGCCGCAAGGCGAAGCUCUUGAUCGAAGCCCCAGUAAACGGCGGCCGUAACUAUAACGGUCCUAAGGUAGCGAAAUUCCUUGUCGGGUAAGUUCCGACCUGCACGAAUGGCGUAAUGAUGGCCAGGCUGUCUCCACCCGAGACUCAGUGAAAUUGAACUCGCUGUGAAGAUGCAGUGUACCCGCGGCAAGACGGAAAGACCCCGUGAACCUUUACUAUAGCUUGACACUGAACAUUGAGCCUUGAUGUGUAGGAUAGGUGGGAGGCUUUGAAGUGUGGACGCCAGUCUGCAUGGAGCCAACCUUGAAAUACCACCCUUUAAUGUUUGAUGUUCUAACUCGGCCCCGUAAUCCGGGGUGAGGACAGUGUCUGGUGGGUAGUUUGACUGGGGCGGUCUCCUCCCAAAGAGUAACGGAGGAGCACGAAGGUUAGCUAAUCACGGUCGGACAUCGUGAGGUUAGUGCAAAGGCAUAAGCUAGCUUGACUGCGAGAGUGACGGCUCGAGCAGGUACGAAAGUAGGUCUUAGUGAUCCGGUGGUUCUGAAUGGAAGGGCCAUCGCUCAACGGAUAAAAGGUACUCCGGGGAUAACAGGCUGAUACCGCCCAAGAGUUCAUAUCGACGGCGGUGUUUGGCACCUCGAUGUCGGCUCAUCACAUCCUGGGGCUGAAGUAGGUCCCAAGGGUAUGGCUGUUCGCCAUUUAAAGUGGUACGCGAGCUGGGUUUAGAACGUCGUGAGACAGUUCGGUCCCUAUCUGCCGUGGGCGUUGGAAGAUUGAGAGGGGUUGCUCCUAGUACGAGAGGACCGGAGUGAACGCACCACUGGUGUUCGGGUUGUCAUGCCAAUGGCACUGCCCGGUAGCUAAGUGCGGAAAAGAUAAGCGCUGAAAGCAUCUAAGCGCGAAACUUGCCUCGAGAUGAGUCUUCCCUGGGCCUUUAAGGCCCCUGAAGGAACGUUUAAGACUAAGACGUUGAUAGGCUGGGUGUGUAAGUGCAGCGAUGCAUUGAGCUAACCAGUACUAAUGAUCCGUGAGGCUUAACCUU
rnacentral:rRNA from 1 species